rnacentral:lncRNA from 1 species
CAUCACUGAACUUUAGAUGACACUUAAAUAUGAAGAGACUUAACUCAGGUUCCCCAAGAACAAAGAUUCAAGUACAAGAAAUUUAUUGGGGAAUUACAGGCAACAGCAUCUGGAGAGGAGAUGAGGCCAGGAAGGAAGAAAAGGCAAUCAAUGGAGGAUAUUGUCUUCGAGCCUAGAAGCCAUUGUGAAGAACAAACGUAUUUCCCAUGGAUACACUGCACAAUGAUUCCCACCAGAAGCCUGGAGCCCACGCAAGCUCCUGAAAGCAUCUACUAAUGAGCCAAAGGGGAAGGGAGAGGCCCACAUGUGAGUUAAAGGUGUCACUUUGGCAGCUGCAGGAAUUGAACCCAGAGCUGUGUGCGUGCUAGGCAAGUGCCCGACCACUGAGCUAUCACCCCAGCCCUUGCACAGGUUUCUUUAUUUUGUUAUUAAAAUUUAAUUUUGAU